AGGUAAUUCUAUAACUACAUCAAUGAAUAACUCUAAUUAGUGCAAUUACAUCUAGAAAUCAUUGUUAAGUUAAUCCUAUAUCAUAAUCACAUGUAAAGAAGCAUCAACUAAUGAGGGUAUUAAGACACACGGGUGACCUCUUUCGUGACCGUGCCCAUGCUAGUCCUACGUAUGGAGGGUGGACUACAGAGGAACCAACACAGUUGUCACCUACACGGACUACCACAUGUCCCGGCAUGUCAGGGUGCACUCACGGAUAAACAAGAUAUCUAGACACCACAUCUACAUAUUGUCUACCAUCUACCCA
rnacentral:lncRNA from 1 species